rnacentral:rRNA from 1 species
AGCUAGAGUUUGAUCCUGGCUCAGGACGAACGCUGGCGGCGUGCCUAACACAUGCAAGUCGAACGAGAAUCAUUGGAACGGAGAUUCGUCGAAGGGAAGAUGAGGACAGUGGCGGACGGGUGAGUAACGCGUGAGCAACCUGCCCUUCGAGGGGGACAACAGCUGGAAACGGCUGCUAAUACCGCAUGACAUAUUCGGGAGGCAUCUCUUGAAUAUCAAAGAUUUAUCGCCGAAGGAUGGGCUCGCGUCUGAUUAGCUGGUUGGUGGGGUAACGGCCUACCAAGGCGACGAUCAGUAGCCGGACUGAGAGGUUGAACGGCCACAUUGGGACUGAGAUACGGCCCAGACUCCUACGGGAGGCAGCAGUGGGGAAUAUUGGGCAAUGGGGGCAACCCUGACCCAGCAACGCCGCGUGAAGGAAGAAGGCUUCGGGUUGUAAAGCUCUGUUAUAGGGGACGAAGGAAGUGACGGUACCCUAUAAGGAAGCCCCGGCUAACUACGUGCC